rnacentral:tRNA from 1 species
GAGCCCGUGGCUCAAUGGUUAGAGCGUUGAACUUCUGAUUAACAGGUCACGGGUUCG